rnacentral:rRNA from 1 species
AGUUUGAUCCUGGCUCAGGAUGAACGCUGGCGGCGUGCUUAACACAUGCAAGUCGAGCGAAGCACUUAAGUUAGAUUCUUCGGAUGAAGACUUAAUUGACUGAGCGGCGGACGGGUGAGUAACGCGUAGGCAACCUGCCCUUUGCAGAGGGAUAGCCAUUGGAAACGAUGAUUAAAACCUCAUAAUGCCAAGAGUUCACAUGGACAUUUGGCCAAAGAUUUAUCGGCAAAGGAUGGGCCUGCGUCUGAUUAGAUAGUUGGUGGGGUAACGGCCUACCAAGUCGACGAUCAGUAGCCGGACUGAGAGGUUGAACGGCCACAUUGGGACUGAGAUACGGCCCAGACUCCUACGGGAGGCAGCAGUGGGGAAUAUUGGGCAAUGGGGGAAACCCUGACCCAGCAACGCCGCGUGAAGGAAGAAGGCUUUCGGGUUGUAAACUUCUUUUACCAGGGACGAAGGACGUGACGGUACCUGGAGAAAAAGCCACGGCUAACUACGUGCCAGCAGCCGCGGUAAUACGUAGGUGGCAAGCGUUGUCCGGAAUUACUGGGUGUAAAGGGAGCGUAGGCGGGCAGGCAAGUCAGGCGUGAAAUAUAUCGGCUCAACCGGUAUCUGCGCUUGAAACUGCAGGUCUUGAGUGAAGUAGAGGUUGGCGGAAUUCCUAGUGUAGCGGUGAAAUGCGUAGAUAUUAGGAGGAACACCAGUGGCGAAGGCGGCCAACUGGGCUUUUACUGACGCUGAGGCUCGAAAGUGUGGGGAGCAAACAGGAUUA